rnacentral:rRNA from 1 species
CCUACGGGAGGCAGCAGUGGGGAAUAUUGGGCAAUGGAGGAAACUCUGACCCAGCAAUGCCGCGUGAAUUCAUCCUUUCUUCGGAUUUUCCCUUUCUUUAUUCCUUUAAUACUAAAAUGACGGUACCUGAAGAAUAAGCUCCGGCUAACUACGUGCCAGCAGCCGCGGUAAUACGUAGGGAGCAAGCGUUGUUCGGAAUGACUGGGCGUAAAGGGUGCAUAGGCGGUUAUACAAGUUAGAAGUCAAAUACCCAGGGCUUAACUCGGGUGCUGCUUCUAAAACUGUAAGACUUGAGUGCAGUAGAGGUUAGUGUAAUUCGUAGUGUAGCGGUGGAAUGCGUAGAUAUUAGGAGGAACACGAGAGGCGAAGGCGGCUAACUGGAUUGCAACUGACGCUGAGGCACGAAAGUGUGGGGAGCAAACAGGAUUAGAGAAAAGGGGAGUC